rnacentral:tRNA from 1 species
GUGGCCGGAGUUCAGCCGGAAGAACGCUCGCUUGUGGCGCGAGAGGUCACGGGUUCAAGCCCCGUCGGUCACCCCA